GGCCCGCACAAGCGGUGGAGUAUGUGGUUUAAUUCGAUGCAACGCGAAGAACCUUACCAGGGUUUGACAUCCUGCGAAUCUCUUGGAAACAGGAGAGUGCCUUCGGGAACGCAGUGACAGGUGGUGCAUGGCUGUCGUCAGCUCGUGUCGUGAGAUGUUGGGUUAAGUCCCGCAACGAGCGCAACCCACGUCUUUAGUUGCCAGCAUUUAGUUGGGCACUCUAGAGAGACUGCCGGUGAUAAACCGGAGAAGGUGUGGAUGACGUCAAGUCAUCAUGCCCCUUACAUCUGGGCUACACACGUACUACAAUGCUACGGACAGAGGGCAGCAAGUUCGCGAGGACAAGCAAAUCCCCAUAAACCGUGGCUCAGUUCAGA
rnacentral:rRNA from 1 species